rnacentral:miRNA from 1 species
UCACAAAUUCCCUGGAGGCCUUGUUAAAAUGCCAACUCUGAAUCCAUGGAUCUGAGUGAGGCCUGGGAUUCUGCAUUUCUAUCAAACUCCCAGGUGAUGCUGGU